GCCGGAGCUUAUUCUCCAGGUACUGUCAUUAUCAUCCCUGGUAAAAGAGCUUUACAACCCUAAGGCCUUCAUCACUCACGCGGCAUUGCUGGAUCAGGCUUUCGCCCAUUGUCCAAUAUUCCCC
rnacentral:rRNA from 1 species